rnacentral:rRNA from 1 species
AUGGAGCGUAUGGCGACUUCCUAUUUCAAGGAAGUGUACACGAAGGAUCCGACCUUGGUGCCGGAGGAGGUUCUUGCUGGUAUACUGCCCAAGGUAACACAACAGAUGAAUGAUUCAUUAUGCGCGCCGUUUUCAGAAGAAGAAGUAUCGAAUGCUCUGUUUCAGAUAGGACCCUUGAAAGCUCCGGGAACGGAUGGUUUCCCGGCCAGAAUUUACCAACGGAAUUGGUCAUCUCUGAAAGUUGAAAUUAUUGCUGCCGUGCUGGAGUUCUUUACUUCAGGUUCAAUGCUAAAGGGAGUGAAUGAUACGGCGAUUGUUUUAAUUCCUAAAGUUCCUCACCCUAAGGAGCUGAAGGAUUUUAGGCCAAUUAGCCUAUGCAAUGUUAUCUAUAAGAUCGUAUCCGAAUGCUUGGUUAAUCGACUCCGACCUCUGCUUGCGGAGCUGAUUUCGGAGAACCAAAGUGCAUUUAUUCCGGGUCGCCUCAUCUCGGACAACUCUAUUAUUGCCUUUGAGUGUAUCCAUCACAUACAGAGUUUGAAGAAUAAUAAUCCAUCCUUGUGCUUAUAA